rnacentral:rRNA from 1 species
AGAGUUUGAUCCUGGCUCAGGACGAACGCUGGCGGCGUGCUUAACACAUGCAAGUCGAACGGAAAGGCCCUUCGGGGUACUCGAGUGGCGAACGGGUGAGUAACACGUGGGUGAUCUGCCCUGCACUUUGGGAUAAGCCUGGGAAACUGGGUCUAAUACCGAAUAUGACCAUGCGCCUCCUGGUGUGUGGUGGAAAGCCUUUGCGGUGUGGGAUGGGCCCGCGGCCUAUCAGCUUGUUGGUGGGGUAAUGGCCUACCAAGGCGACGACGGGUAGCCGGCCUGAGAGGGUGACCGGCCACACUGGGACUGAGAUACGGCCCAGACUCCUACGGGAGGCAGCAGUGGGGAAUAUUGCACAAUGGGCGCAAGCCUGAUGCAGCGACGCCGCGUGAGGGAUGACGGCCUUCGGGUUGUAAACCUCUUUCAGCACAGACGAAGCGCAAGUGACGGUAUGUGCAGAAGAAGGACCGGCCAACUACGUGCCAGCAGCCGCGGUAAUACGUAGGGUCCGAGCGUUGUCCGGAAUUACUGGGCGUAAAGAGCUCGUAGGUGGUUUGUCGCGUUGUUCGUGAAAACUCACAGCUUAACUGUGGGUGUGCGGGCGAUACGGGCAGACUUGAGUACUGCAGGGGAGACUGGAAUUCCUGGUGUAGCGGUGAAAUGCGUAGA